rnacentral:rRNA from 1 species
CCUACGGGAGGCAGCAGUGGGGAAUAUUGGACAAUGGGCGAAAGCCUGAUCCAGCAAUGCCGCGUGAGUGAUGAAGGCCUUAGGGUUGUAAAGCUCUUUUACCAGGGAUGAUAAUGACAGUACCUGGAGAAUAAGCUCCGGCUAACUCCGUGCCAGCAGCCGCGGUAAUACGGAGGGAGCUAGCGUUGUUCGGAAUUACUGGGCGUAAAGCGUGCGUAGGCGGCGAUUCAAGUCAGAGGUGAAAGCCUGGAGCUCAACUCCAGAACUGCCUUUGAAACUAGAUUGCUAGAAUCAUGGAGAGGUGAGUGGAAUUCCGAGUGUAGAGGUGAAAUUCGUAGAUAUUCGGAAGAACACCAGUGGCGAAGGCGGCUCACUGGACAUGUAUUGACGCUGAGGCACGAAAGCGUGGGGAGCAAACAGGAUUAGAUACCCUGGUAGUCCACGCCGUAAACGAUGAUAACUAGCUGCCAGGGCUCAUAGAGCUUUGGUGGCGCAGCUAACGCAUUAAGUUAUCCGCCUGGGGAGUACGGUCGCAAGAUUAAAACUCAAAAUGAAUUGACGG